UUUUUUAAGGCAAACCAGAUAACAUCCAUGUGUGUUUAACCACUCAAGUUAUAGAAUAUAGACAGUACCCCAGAAGAUCCCCCCACCGCCUCCUGAUCAAUGCCCCAAGUUAUUCUUGGGGGGAAAAAAAUAGCAGCUGUUUAUACUGCUACUGUUUGCUUCUCAGAAGAAGCCAUUGUCUUAGACUGAGUGUGAAGCUUUAUGCUCUCAGCACUUGGCUAAGCCUAGCAGGGAACUUUUUAUAAAGUACCAUUUUAAUCAAAUGCUUCUUUGUAAUUUCAUGGUGCCAGGGUGACCUACCUUUCAAAACAGGUGGCUCCGUACUCUUGAUCUUUUUUAAUAGAAAUAAUGAGUUUUAAGUUUUUAAAGAAUUUUUUGACAUAAGUUUGUUUGUUUGUUUUUUAGUACUAGAUAUAUUAUUAGCCUGAUCUCUUUAUCAGUAGUUUGGACUUUAUUAACUAUUAAAUACUGCUUACUUUAAAUAUUUCUCAUUUUAAUACUUUUGCCUAAUUAUAGCCACCCACUCCUCUUUCUCCCACUAGAUAUAUGGGUUAUUGAAGCUAUCUUUUGGGGGUGCCAGAUUAGCAUUAAUA
rnacentral:lncRNA from 1 species